rfam:Homo sapiens chromosome X, GRCh38 reference primary assembly.
GCCAGGUGUGGUGGUGUGCACCUGUAGUCCCAGCUACUAGGGAGGCUGAGGUAGGAGGAUUGCUUGAACCCAGGAGGCCAAGGCUGCAGUGAGCUGUGAUCACACCACUGCGCUCUAGGCUGGGUGACAGAGCAAGACCUUGUCUCAA